AACAGUAUGGAAAGAUCUAUGAGGGCUCCUCUUGGAUCAGAGGUAAUGAAGGGGAUGAUGCAAUGUAAUUGGGUACACUGAUCUUAAUGUGACUAGUAGGAAUCGCAGAAUUAUAGAGGACAUUACUAGCAAUUAAUUGUAGAAGAAGUGGUGGAUGCUAUUGCUAUAAUAAGCCAUAGGACUUGAAUGGUAAUCGUGGAAUUUGGAUUUGAGGAAUCUGUGACAAUGUUUAAUUGAUGAGGGAGUCCCUAGUAAUAAAAUAUAUGGCAGCCUACUAAUAGACUGUUUGACAUAUAGAAGAGGAAAAAGUUUUGGCCCACAGUAAAGAAACCUAAUUCAAAUUUUUGAAGUGGAUUUCAUGCCUUCUAUACAAUUUCUAAAUUUGUUCAAAUCUAAAUUGGUUCAAAUACCUCAAGUCUCUUAACUAAGGAGAAGUCCAGGUCUCUUUGUAGAAAGACAUUAUAAUAUGGAACUAUCAAUCCUGUAAAUCUUUUCCCAAGACUCCCCUGGGAGAUCUGAAGCCAUUUAUUAUGGUGACUGUGCAUUGAGCCAAAGGUAAAUGCCCAGAUUUUCUGGAAGUUAUUAGGUAUCGUCCAUGAACUGAAGCUAAUCUCUCAAGACCCCAAAUAGCUUUUUGUUUUCAGAAGCAGAAGGACUGGGGAUAAAUACUACUAUUAUUUCCUCAUUCAGAAAGUUUAGGGGAAUUAAUUUUCAGGAAGAGGCAAAAUACCCAUAUUGACAUUUUGACCUAUGAAGUGGGGAGAUAUUAUGGUAGAAAAGAUUGAAUAGAAAUCCCUGAAACUGCCUCCAACCCUUCCCUCCCUCUUCCCAUAAGAUCAAAAGUGAUAUUCAAUUCCUGGAGAUAUUGUAGAGAUUAGUAUCAGUAUACAAAUUUUGAGAAAUAAAAUGGUUACGCUUGCCAUGUAUUACUUAACAUUAGCCUAUUUGACUGAUACAAAAGCCAGAUGUAUUAUGGAGAAUAAUAGUAGCCUAUAGCAAACUUAAUCAUGUAGUGAUUAUAUUUGCAGCUGUGCUGGGAUUCUAUUUUAAUAAGUGAGGGAGAUCAGAAGCAGUUUGCAUUUACAUAGCAGAGACUACAGUAUACCUUCAGUAUUUUGCCCAAGGGCUGUGCCACUCUCUUACUCUAUGUUAUAAUCUAGAUGGGCCUUCAUCAUCUUGUUAUUUUACUGAACAUCUCACUUAUCUACUAUACUACAUAAUGGUGACACUGUUAGCUGGGUCUGGUAAGUAGGAAGUAUAAAGCACUCAAGAUAUCUUAAUAAGAUGUAUGCAUUCUAGUGGUUAAAAUCUGUUACGUUUCAGGGUCUAAAAUAUAAGUUGUCUGGUAAGCAUAAUGUGAUCUCUUUUCUGAACUAGCUACUACACCUUACACGGCACUCACCACUUAGAAAAUGGUAUGCAUCUAAAACCAGUUAGGAUUCUGCAGCCACUGCAUAUAUUUGGGGAUGGUCCUCUCCCUCAUUUAUUGGCAAAUCAUAAGGUUACAAUUUUUGAGUGGGACCUCUAGGAAGAAAGGGGUCUGUGGCAGGUCUAAGUUGCAAUGCAGGUUACUUUGCUAUCUGGACCUAAUAAUAUGGGACACUAUAAAUAAAGGAAGUAUUUGUGGCAGAGAGAGAUGCUCUUUGAGCCUCUGGCAAAUUCAGUAUGAAAAUCACAGCACAGGGUUCUGGAAUGAGGCCAUGUCCUUCUUUACUGACAAAUAUUUUCCAUUUGAAAAAUAACUCCUGGCUUGCUAGCUGGUUCUGAUAGACACUAACCAUUUGACCAUGGGAUAUAAAAUGACUAUGCAAUCUGAACUUCACAUUAUAUAUAAAGUAUUAUUUGACCAACAGAAUUUAAAGUUGGACAUAAACAAUAAAAUUGAAAUAGUAUCUGCACAUCCAGUCCUGAGCAUAUUCAUCAAUCUUCAGGAGCAGAUUCAUAUUGUAUUUGCUUCUCUUGUUUUGUCAUCUUUUCCUCAUCCACACUUAUGACUGCAUGGAGAGUUCAAAAUGACUACUUAAUUGUGGAGGCAAAGCAUGGGCCUGAUUUAUGGAUAGAUCUCCAUGCUUUGCUGGCACCAGAUGAAGAAGGACAAACAUUACACAACAAUCACACUCAGUGGUGACCUUGAAAGACAUGUAUGAUGGAGUCAUUAUUACUCCAUGAUAAUGUUAACAGCUGAUGGGAUUUCAUAGGUCUCCCAAGAUGAGAACAUGUAGUUUUCAACUGGAUGAAGGAAAAAAAAAUGAAUGGUGAGGGGCGAAACAUGUAGGUUUUGUUGAACAUACUCCAUGUGAAAUUACAGAUCAACUUUCACCCUUCUAAAUUUUGAUCUCUGCCCUGGAAGAAUGGUUUGUGUGGGCUACAUCCCAGGCUUCUCUGGCUUUCAGCUGAGGAUGGCCAGUAGAGAUCCCAGGCAGGCGAUCAGAACGAGGGCGAGCAUUUAUUCCCAUGGCUCUUUUCUUGUGAAAUCAUUGCAAAUUAGUUUAAAUUUGACUCAACAUCACUGUUUAUUUCAAGGUAAUUUAACUUUUUUCUAUAUGACUCUUUCCUUUUAUGUCCUGAUAACUGGUCCUUUCCCUUGUCCUUUUAGGCCUGUGGGUAAUGAUAGCACUGUUCUAACCAGUUCUGAGUUACUGCACAACCCUUCUUGUUCAGAACCACCCUACCUACACCUUUGUAAGUAGGACCUUAAUUAAAAAAAAUCCUCUAAAAAUGUCCAAUUUGAGAGUGCCAUCUGUUUCCUAUAGGGAAAUACACCUCGGGCAGUCUUCUUCCCUCUUAACUCCACUCCGUUCAUUAUUUAGGGCUCAUGCAUUUUCAAGUGACAAAAAUAUUCCAACUAACCUUGCUUAAGCUGAAAAAGCAUAGGGAUUUAUUGCAUCACUAGAAAGUCCAAGGGAUAAUUCUGUCACCAGGCAUGGUUGAUUCCAAGAGCUCACAUGAUGUUGGCAGGGUUCUCUCCUCUUGGCUUUAGUUUGUGUUGCUUUCCUUUUUUAGGCAAGUCCUUUCCACAAAGUGACAAAUAUGGACACUGGCUGUUCUGGCUUAUGGUGGCUUUACAGAUUACAAUCCUAGGAAAAAGAGCGUGAGAGAUACUGCAAACAUCCUAACACACAUUGUGAUGUGAUUCCAAUGGUGAACUGUUGGGUGUAGUUGAGGUGGCUUUCCUGGCUGUCAUGUUGGCACUCACGUAGAAUAAAUGAACAAACUCUGCAGUCUGGCAGAGGAGUGGCUGUGAAUGGAAAAGAACAUUGCCUGGAUCAGAGGAGGGCCAUCUCCCAGCUCUCCACUGGAGCUGAUUCUCUUUGAAGUAUAUACUUGAAAUCAAGGAAGAAUGUUGAUAAUAGAGGGUAUAGGGCAAGCCAAAGGCCAGCUUCUCUUUUAACUGGAACACUCCUCUUGCUAGAAUAGUGUCACUUGUCUGCCUCAGAAGAAAAACUGUUUUGGUAAAUCCAUUUGGAAUGGCCUCUCAGCCUCAAUCAGAUCACCAAACUCAAUAAUAUUGUGAAGAGGGAUUCUCUUGGGUGAACAGUGAAAUGGAACUGUUCAAAAGACUUCAUAAAAGGCACAAAAGCCCUUUGCCAACCUUGCGUGUCUCUCUUUUUGGUAACCUUGCUGCAAAUAUAACUUGGAGCAGUUUGUAUGAAUCUUUGGGGUGACAAUGGAUGUAAGGAAACAAACUUGUCUGGGAUAGAGGAUGUAUUGCACCUUCUGUGAUAUGAAAUGCAUAAUACGGCUGGAUUAUAGCAACAGAGGGAACAGAUAGGUAUUGAUCCCAAGAGUUUUCUAAAAAUCCCCUGGAGGGGUAAUCUCUGUAUCAUUCUUUCUCUCAGGGAAUUAGACCUUUGAGAGAAGACUUUCUGGGAGAAAUGAUAUUCAAGCUGAGAACUAAAGUAGCUGUCUAGAAGAUAGGUGCGCUCAUUUGAUUUGAAAAUAGCCUCAAGGAAGCAUGAAUAGCACGAGAUCAAGCGUCAUGAGCUCAUCAGAUUCACAGGUGGUUCCUCUUUCCAGAUUUGCAACAUGACUAAUGGUUGGGAUAGUUGAGAACAGUCCUACCUCUUCCUUAACUAUAUUCUUAAUAAUUAUCUCACUACUGAUACAAAGCAGAAAUAUCUGCUGAGUUUAUGUGUAGGAUAUUAAAUUUAAAAACCUAGUUGAAAUCUUUUUGCAAGAAGGAAACUAGAAUGAAAGUAUCUAGCAGGGCAACUGGUUUAUAAUUGAAGAUAGUUUUUCUUCAUAAAGAUGACACAGAAAACCCUUUAUUCUGAAGGAUUAGUUGGAUAGUUUGACGAACAUUUGAUUUCAUCACUCAGCACUGGUUCUGAACUAUUGAUAUUUUAUAGUGUUGCGCUAUCUUCCUAUCUUUCAGUUUUGGGUAUUUGGGUUACUGAAUCUCAGGAUUGGGAUCCCUACACUGUUUGGACCUAGUCUGUAUCCAUUUAACAGUGACUGUCGAGCAUCUGAAAUGUGGUGAAUCUGCCCUGAGAUAGGCUAUAAGUGUAAAAUGCACACCUCUUUGCAAAGGCUUCAUUUGAUGGAGCUCCUGGGUGGCUCAGUAGGUUAAG